rfam:Ovis aries breed Texel chromosome 3, whole genome shotgun sequence.
UCUCUGGUAGUCCAGUAGCUAAGACUCUGUGCUCCCAAAGCAUAGGGCCUGGGUUCAGUCCCUAGUUGGAGAA